ACGCGUUUCCACAAGAAUAACUUAAGCGAAAUAAAAAAGAUUCUUUCAAACAAUUGUUAUCCGAACAAAGUUAUCAACAGAUACAUCAAUAUCAGACUUAAUGAGCUGCGGACGCGUCACAACAAUUCUAAUAAUUCCAACAGCGAUAGCUUGGCUCGGGAUCCUCGAAAAUUUAUAACCAUUCCGUAUGUUAAAGGCCUAAGCCACAACGUCGGCCGCACAAUGCGCGAUGCGGAAUUUAAAGUGCUGCUCACUAUUCCGAAGAAAUUAGACUGCAUCAUAAAAAAGGGGAAAGACAAGUUACCGAAUCUUAAACAAACUGAGUUAGUGUACAGGAUUGAUUGCGCUAAUUGUAACGCUGCAUACAUCGGUCAAACAAAAAGACACUUAGAGACGCGUAUUAAGGAACAUGCUUGCGACAUUAGGAAAAAUAGCGAUAAUCAUUCUGUCGUGAGUAAGCACCGUCUCACUCACAAACAUGAUUUCAAUUGGCAACAACCAAAAAUUUUAUACAAGGAAAGACAGUUCAAGAAGCGUGAAAUCUCUGAGAUGUUUUUUAUUAAGAAAUGUGACAGCGCAAUCAAUCUACAAAAAGACACCGAAAAUUUACCAGCGAAUUACAACCGAGUUAUUGACGCAACUUAGGUUUGCCGGUUUGUUUUGUCCGUGAGCACAGUUAGUUAUUCGCCUAUUAUGUGUCUCUCAGUACGACUUUGACUGUGGAGAGGUAUGGAUGUGCUCUCUGACAUGACUUGCCUUUUUCUUUCCCUCUACAAUCUGUCUUUUGACACGCACAACAUUUGCGAUUGCAUGAUAUGGUUUGGGCACUAAUGUCAGCGAAUUAAAAAAUGUUGUGUGCGUGGUUCUAAUUCACUUGAUAAGGACCAGAAUGUGGUCGAAACGUUGUGAAGAAUAAAAUUGUUUUUGGCCAGUUCGGUCGAGAAAAACGACUUUUAUUU